UACGUAGGGACCAAGCGUUGUCCGGAAUCAUUGGGCGUAAAGAGCGUGUAGGCGGCUUGUUAAGUCUUGCGUGAAAUCUCGGGGCUCAACCCCGAGCGGUCGUGAGAAACUGGCAGGCUAGAGUGCGGGAGAGGAGACUGGAAUUCCUGGUGUAGCGGUGAAAUGCGCAGAUAUCAGGAGGAACACCGGUGGCGAAGGCGGGUCUCUGGGCCGAUAUUGACGCUGAGGAGCGAAAGCGUGGGGAGCAAACAGG
rnacentral:rRNA from 1 species